AACGAACGCUGGCGGCAUGCCUAACACAUGCAAGUCGAACGAGACUUUCGGGUCUAGUGGCGCACGGGUGCGUAACGCGUGGGAAUCUGCCCUUGGGUUCGGGAUAACAGUUGGAAACGACUGCUAAUACCGAAUGAUGACUUCGGUCCAAAGAUUUAUCGCCCAGGGAUGAGCCCGCGUCGGAUUAGCUUGUUGGUGAGGUAAGAGCUCACCAAGGCGACGAUCCGUAGCUGGUCUGAGAGGAUGAUCAGCCACACUGGGACUGAGACACGGCCCAGACUCCUACGGGAGGCAGCAGUGGGGAAUAUUGGACAAUGGGCGAAAGCCUGAUCCAGCAAUGCCGCGUGAGUGAUGAAGGCCUUAGGGUUGUAAAGCUCUUUUACC
rnacentral:rRNA from 1 species